rnacentral:rRNA from 1 species
UACAGAGGAUGCAAGCGUUAUCCGGAAUGAUUGGGCGUAAAGCGUCUGUAGGUGGCUUUUUAAGUCCGCCGUCAAAUCCCAGGGCUCAACUCUGGACAGGCGGUGGAAACUACCAAGCUUGAGUGCGGUAGGGGAGACUGGAAUUCCUGGUGUAGCGGUGAAAUGCGCAGAUAUCAGGAGGAACACCGGUGGCGAAGGCGGCUCACUGGCUCGUAACUGACGCUCAUGCACGACAGCGUGGGGAUCAAACAGG